AUUGAACGCUGGCGGCAUGCUUUACACAUGCAAGUCGAACGGUAACAGGCCCUUCGGGUGCUGACGAGUGGCGAACGGGUGAGUAAUGCAUCGGAACGUGCCCAAUCGUGGGGGAUAACGUAGCGAAAGUUACGCUAAUACCGCAUACGUCCUACGGGAGAAAGGGGGGAUCUUCGGACCUCUCGCUAAUAGAUGAGCCUAGGCCGGAUUAGCUAGUUGGUAGGGUAAAGGCCUACCAAGGCGACGAUCUGUAGCUGGUCUGAGAGGAUGGCCAGCCACACUGGAACUGAGACACGGUCCAGACUCCUACGGGAGGCAGCAGUGGGGAAGUAUUGGACAAUGGGGGCGAAACCCUGAUCCAGCCAGUGCCGCGUGUGUGAAG
rnacentral:rRNA from 1 species